rnacentral:rRNA from 1 species
UACGGAGGGGGCUAGCGUUGUUCGGAAUUACUGGGCGUAAAGCGCACGUAGGCGGCUUCGUAAGUCAGAGGUGAAAGCCCGGGGCCCAACCCCGGAACUGCCGUUGAGACUGCGUCGCUCGAAUCCGGGAGAGGCGGGUGGAAUUCCCGGUGUAGAGGUGAAAUUCGUAGAUAUUGGGAAGAACGCCAGUGGCGAAGGCGGCGCGCUGGACCGGUAUUGACGCUGAGGUGCGAAAGCGUGGGGAGCAAACAGG